AGUGAACGCUGGCGGCAUGCCUAACACAUGCCAGUCGAACGGCAGCACAGUAAGUUCUUGCUGUUAGGGGGGGGGGGUGGGGGAAGGGUGAGAAAUACAUCGGAAUCUACUUUUUCGUUGGGGAUAAGGUAGGGAAACUUAUGCUACUACCGCAUACGACCUACGGGUGAAGGCCGGUGGUGUUUGGACCUUUCGGGUUUGCCGGAGCCGAUGUCGGAUUAGCUAGUUGGCGGGGUAAAGGCACACCAAGGCGACGAUCUGUAGCUGGUCUGAGAGGAUGAUCAGCCACACUGGAACUGAGACACGGUCCAGACUCCUACGGGAGGCAGCAGUGGGGAAUAUUGGACAAUGGGCGCAAGCCUGAUCCAGCCAUACCGCGUGGGUGAAGAAGGCCUUCGGGUUGUAAAGCCCUUUUGUUCGGAAAGAAAAGCAGCGCGUUAAUACCGCGCGGUUCUGACGGUACCCAAAGAAUAAGCACCGGCUAACUACGUG
rnacentral:rRNA from 1 species